rnacentral:rRNA from 1 species
GUCCCAGACUCCUACGGGAGGCAGCAGUGGGGGAUAUUGCACAAUGGGGGAAACCCUGAUGCAGCGACGCCGCGUGGGUGAAGAAGUAUUUCGGUAUGUAAAGCCCUAUCAGCAGGGAAGAAAGAAGACGGUACCUGACUAAGAAGCCCCGGCUAACUACGUGCCAGCAGCCGCGGUAAUACGUAGGGGGCGAGCGUUAUCCGGAUUCACUGGGUGUAAAGGGAGCGUAGACGGCCGUGCAAGCCAGGAGUGAAAGCCCGGGGCCCAACCCCGGGACUGCUCUUGGAACUGCGCGGCUGGAGUGCAGGAGGGGCAGGCGGAAUUCCUGGUGUAGCGGUGAAAUGCGUAGAUAUUAGGAGGAACACCAGUGGCGAAGGCGGCUUACUGGACUGUAACUGACGUUGAGGCUCGAAAGCGUGGGGAGCAAACAGGAUUAGAUACCCCCGUAC